rnacentral:misc_RNA from 1 species
AAGUCGUAACAAGGUUUCCGUAGGUGAACCUGCGGAAGGAUCAUUCACAAUGAGUGUUUUAUGGCACUCUUUAAAAAUCCAUAUCCACCUUGUGUGCAAUGUUUGUUGGGGAGAGGAGGACAAUCCUUCUUUCCCAUUCACAAAACUAUCAACCUAUUAUCUUUAACAACAUUCGUCUGAUAACAUAUUAUGAAUAUACUUAAUUCAAAAUAUAA